rnacentral:lncRNA from 1 species
UUUUGGUACAUUUGUAAUAAUGUUUCAGAGUUAAGUAGCUGAGUAGAUGUGUCCUUUCUCAUUAUUAGAUGUGAGAUUGCUCUCUCUCUCUCUUUCUCUCUCUCUGUCUCUCUCUCCUCCCCCCCCUCUUUCGUUUGUUUGUUUUCUUGUAAGCAAUGAAACGGGCGUAACCUAAACACAUCUUCAGUGGCUUCGAAAGGAAAAAUUGACCCCAUCCCCACAACCUAAAACUAGACAGGAUACUCGCUCUUCUUCUCUCUGCCCUUUCUUUAAUUUUUUUCUGUCAUUUUCAUUUUAACUUUUUUAUUUGUCGAUGAUGUGUGUCCAUAGGCUUAACAAAAAGGCAGAUUUUAUGGGCCUUGAGAAAAGUACCUCCAUACCAUACUUCUCUUGCGGGCCGUAAUUCUCUCUCUCUCUCUCUCUCUCUUUCUCUUUUGAAUAAAUAUCAAAUUUCUUGUACUUUGAAUUAUUUCUUGCUUUCUCAAACCUAUAAUAUCUCUUUUUGAUCUAUUUUUGAUCAGUAGGUCCAAUUCCUUCCCUUUUUUAAAUGUUUAGAAAGCUCGACACUGUCAUUCUGUUCAUAUUGGGUUCCAAACAUGUCAGUCUGAAUGAGAAUGAGGAUAACAAAAAUUAGAGAAUUCUCAUGGUGAAAUGUACCUCUUCGGGGUAAUUUAAACUGCCAACCCAAUGAAAAUUCAAUAGGGGUAGGCAUAUCACUUGUUAUUGGGAAUUUUUUACAAGAAUCAGAACACCAAAUGGGCACAUCUUCGUUAUAGAAUUAACCUGUAUCUUAACAAUUAUUUAGGGAAAGGAGGAGAGUUCUGAUUCUUCUUUUCUCUUUCCAUGAUUGUUUUUUUUUCAUUUUGCUUUUUUAACUGCAG